GACGAACUCUGGCGGCGUGCCUAAUACAUGCAAGUCGAGCGGACCGGAUUGGGGCUUGCCUUGAUUCGGUCAGCGGCGGACGGGUGAGUAACACGUGGGCAACCUGCCCGCAAGACCGGGAUAACUCCGGGAAACCGGAGCUAAUACCGGAUAACACCGAAGACCGCAUGGUCUUCGGUUGAGAGGCGGCCUUUGGGCUGUCACUUGCGGAUGGGCCCGCGGCGCAUUAGCUAGUUGGUGAGGUAACGGCUCACCAAGGCGACGAUGCGUAGCCGGCCUGAGAGGGUGACCGGCCAGACUGGGACUGAGACACGGCCCAGACUCCUACGGGAGGCAGCAGUAGGGAAUCUUCCGCAAUGGGCGAAAGCCUGACGGAGCGACGCCGCGUGAGCGAAGAAGGCCUUCGGGUCGUAAAGCUCUGUUGUGAGGGACGAAGGAGCGCCGUUCGAAGAGGGCGGCGCGGUGACGGUACCUCACGAGAAAGCCCCGGCUAACUACGUGCCAGCCGCCGCGGUAA
rnacentral:rRNA from 1 species